UAAAUUUGCCUGUAUAAUUAUACACUUCAAAGAUAAGGAAAUGAUGUGGCACCCCUCCCUCACAGAUGCACCCGCGUUUCCUGGUUACAUAAACAACGUAAAAAACAAAAAAAAAAUUUGCAUUAAAGGUGCUACAGUUCACAGGGUAUGUCCAUCUUACUAGUACAGGACAAAAUAACAGGAGUGUGCAGGAUAGAUUGAUAGAGAAGAGAGGAGUCUGUGGUGAGGAGACUUAGGGAUUCAUGAGAUUUGUCCAGUAUUACUGUUUCUCUAGUAAGUGUGUUUGUGUUUGGGUGUUUGUCCCAGGCUGACCUACUGUCAUUGGCUAGCAGUGUUGCUGAGGCAUGCCCACAGAGUGAGCCAGAUGUGUUCCUGUGUGCAGAAGACUUUGUUGUCACUGUGGUGAACAUGGACUACGGGAUGAAUCAGCGGAAUCCCAUUAAUAAUAUGCAUUUUUACUGUAAGAAUGACCCCACCAGAGCGUUUAAGAUUGGUAAAAACCAGGUCUCCUAACUACUGCCUGAGAAAUGUGCAGAGCAGCUGAUCCGGGUCUACUGCAGAAAGACUGACAACAGGAGUCUGGAGAUGGCCAGGAAGUACUUUGUGCAGUGGUGCAUCAAUGAAUACUUCACCAAGCCCCAGGAUGGCGAUGUGACGGCCCCCGAGCUUACCCCUCUGAAACAGAGCUGGGUUGUUGACAAAGAUGAAGAAGACAAUGAGGAUGAGGAAGAGAGGAGAUGGAAGGUGCAUCCCAGUGAGAAGGUGGAAAAGGUGAAACACAA